rnacentral:tRNA from 1 species
GGGCGACAGUUUUCGCAGGUAGAGAAGCAUCUGCAGAGUUCUCACCUGGGGUUACUGUCUUCGUUCACACCGAAGAGGUCACUGGUUCGAUCCCAGUAUCGCCCA